rnacentral:lncRNA from 1 species
AGGGAGAAGAGAGGGGCUGAAGAUUGAUAAUCACCAAUUAUCAAUGAUUUAAUCAAUCAUUCCUAUAUAAUAAGGCCUCCACAAAAACCCUGAAUAAUGGGGUUCAGAGAACUUCCAUGUUGCUGAAGUGAGAUGCUAGGAGGAUGGCAUGCCUGGAGAGGGCAUGGAAGCUCUGUGCCCCUUCCCCAUGCCUUGACCUAUGCAUCUCUUCCAUUAGGCUGUUCCUGAGUUAAACAGAAGGGUGGUACUAUUGUUUUAUAGUCCUUGCCACUUCAAAGGACCAGUCUGUCUAGAAGACCCUCACAGCAGCCCCUAAGACAGUAUUCGAGAAUUCUUCCUCUAUAUGCCUUUUACAGAUAGUACGAAAACAUCUCCACAUUGAAGAAAACCAGCACCAGCACAUGGCAAAGUGCUUGUGAAGGAUGGGGCAGAAGAAAGGAGCUGGUGACAUUUUCAGUGGUUUCGUUUGCGUCCAUCGAGCGAAGACAUGUGACUAGGUGUUGUUGCAGUCUGGUUUAAUAGUUAGGAAUAUGAACCCAGAGGAGGCACUGAAGGCCUUUCGGCCCCGGCUGGACUUGUCAUUGCAUGUGUUGCUCUCCACUUUCCCUUCGUAGCACUUUUCAGUUUGUAAUUGUAGCAGGAUGAUGUUCUCUUCUCCUGUACCUCUUCAUCCCUGUGAGUAUUAGCAUUCAUCCCAUCCUCACUUGUGAGUAUUAGCAAGAGAAAGCUCUGUCUUAUAGUUGAUUCACACUGAAGACUCUAAAAGGCAAACACUCUGUCUUAUAGUUGAUUCACACUGAAGACUGUAAAAGGCAAAUUCAUCUCCUGUUGUGAGGUUCCACUUUCGCCUUCCAGAUGGAGCAAGGAACUCUGGUGGGAAGUGAUGGGGUGGAGUGGAUAAGACAAAGGAACAAACACAGGAGCCAGGAAUAAGAGACACCCAGGGGCCCAUCUAAGGUAGAGUUUGUGUGAGAUGAAAGACAAGCUAAUGGGGAAAGGGAAUAAACAUUUGGCAGCA